GGAAUACAGUUCCAUUUCGCAACCCAUUGAAUAGUCAGAAGCAAGCAUCCAAAUAAGAGUGAAGACACCAUUACUACUUUUAUCAUAACCACAACCUUACCAAUCAAAAAUCAAAUACACCACACAAGAUAACAAUUCUACUGCAUAAGCAAACAAUAAAUAAUAUUACUAAAAUUAAAAUUGCGACAAGCACGCAAGAUUUAAUUCUAAAGCAAUCGAAA
rnacentral:misc_RNA from 1 species